ACGGAAGGCAGCAGUGGGGAAUAUUGCACAAUGGGGGAAACCCUGAUGCAGCGACGCCGCGUGGAGGAAGAAGGUCUUCGGAUUGUAAACUCCUGUUGUUAGGGACGAUAAUGACGGUACCUAACAAGGAAGCCACGGCUAACUACGUGCCAGCAGCCGCGGUAAAACGUAGGUGGCAAGCGUUGUCCGGAAUUACUGGGUGUAAAGGGAGCGCAGGCGGACCGGCAAGUUGGAAGUGAGACCCACGGGCUCAACGUGUGGGCUGCUGGCAAAAGUGUCGGUCUUGAGUAGUGUAGAGGUAGGCGGAAAUCCCGGUGUAGCGGUGGAAUGCGUAGAUAUCGGGAGGAACACCAGUGGCGAAGGCGGCCUACUGGGCACCAACUGACGCAGAGGCUAGAAAGUAUGGGUAUCAAACAGGAUUAGAUACCCUGGUA
rnacentral:rRNA from 1 species